ACAAACAUAGUACAUUACUUUAGCUAACGAACCUCCAAUCUAGAAAAGUGUCAGCAAUGUCAACGCUUGCAAGUAUUGGAAAAACUCUCCUCCGUCCAACUGUUACCGUACAUCAACUGCAAUAUGAGUUACAUGUGAUUUGUUGUUAGGUAAGGCAAUGUCUUUAUCGAAUUGUCCUUCAUUCUCUAUGAUCCGUGCACCUAAUAAUUAUUAAUAAGCGAUUUAAAUGAAUGAUUUCUAAACUUCUGCUUACCUGUCAGAUUUAACCAUACCGAAGGAGGUUGAGAUAACUGCCGCUCAACAUUUGAUAUUGUUUCUCUGCUAAUUGUACUGAACCUUCCGCAUUCUGUUUCACUCAUAGUACUUAAAAUAUAAUUGAUUAAAGUUGCUUGGUCUUAAACCAAUCUUUGAUAACCCAAAACACGUAUUAAGCCAAAUGAACGCAGUUAAUCACAGUACUCCCUUUUACUUUCUAUCAAAACAACAACAAUCUAAUAAAUGAAUAAACCCAGGUUUCCUUUUGGUAUUCUAAAUGGAAAAAUGAGUAUAUAGAGAAAUAGUAUAGUCGGGUGAUAUCACGUGUGGGUACGUUGGGAGCUUGGAGCCAUAACUUAGCACUUCAUAAUGUGCGCGAUCUAAGCCUAUCUUUAGGUGAUUAACAGUAGCAAAAGACAAUGCCUUGCUCAUAAUACUAGCAUUACUAAUCAUACUGUUAUAAAUUUUCGUUUACAAGAAUGUUAUUCCUGAUUAUAUAACAACAAAUCAUCAGAUUAGCAAUUCAACAAGAUUCUGCUUCAUCAUUUGUAAACUCAAAUAAGCAAUACCAUAAAGUAAAUUAGGAAAUCUGACUGGUGGAAAUGAUGCAUUUAUGGAAAAACUGAAAAAGUAAAUAUCAAAUCUUUUUCCACUAAACAUCAAACGUUUUUUAACCGAAAUUUUGUUAUUAUUCAUGAAAAUCAUGUAUGAAACAUUAAAUAAAAGUGCUUAAAUACUGUUUUUAAAUAGACGGUAAAUCCGAUCAACUGCCCGUAGUUGUGCUUGAACACCAUAUGAGCUUGACUGUAUGUCUUCGAGAUCCUGAAGUAGGUCUUCAGCAACAUCCUUAGAUAGACCCAUAUCCAUGGACAUUAUGGCCAUCAAGUUAACCUGGAAAACCAAGAGUCCAUAACUCAUAUCAUCUAAAGAAUUCAUUUUCUGUGACCGAACCAAAAUACGUUCGGCAGCACGAAGUGAUUGUCUAAAUCGUUGGCGGCGUUCUGCCCUUGAAAGAGUAUCGUUGUUGAAAAUGUUGGCCUUUACAUACCUGAUAAUAACAUAGCAGAAUAUAAGACUAGGGGUUAUUCCAACUGUUGCAAAGACGAGCUCUUGACUUUUUAAUAGUCGAUCAAUACCACUUAAUGCUACCUCGACGUCAACUUUUGUUUUUUGCAAUUGAAUAAGCAGUGUCCGAACUAGAUUCCCCGAAACGGCAGUUCUAAUCGGGGUUUUUAAGUCAUGUUCAUAUGCUUGCAAAACGUACGUAAGAUCUCCUUGCUGUACUUCUUGUUUCACCAAAUCCAAGUUUAUACCAGCAGGAGAAGUAUCGGAUACAAAAUCAAUCACCAUUCUCUGUAAACUUUCCAUAUCACUUUCUAAACUUUUGGUUUGCAACAAAGUAAUUUGCGAGUCAGCCCUGUUAGAGCGGAUGGUGUCAAAUAUUCCUAAAAUCGGUUUUUGAAUCCAAUUAGUGUAGAAAUCUACAGCCGUUGAAUAAAGAUAAUCUAUCCAUAGACGUAUGCUGGUUCUGUUUUUUGUAAUUAUUUGGGUUGACAGCCAAGCGGAAAGUAAAGUAACGAAAAUUUUAGGCCAAUUUCGUUCUAUUGCACUUGGACGAAAAUAGGCUUUAGCCUCAAAAUAUUCAUCUGUUGGAUGGCUCAGAUUAUCCAAUGUUAUUGAAAGAAUGUCUGGCAAAGACUCUGAAUUGUCAAUCUUCUGCCCUUGCAGUUGUGAGAGUCUUUGGAUCCAUUGGGAAACAACUUGUUUUAAAUCAGCUUUUGCUGAAAUGCCAUUUUUAUCACCACUUGAUGAAGCAGCAUCACUAACUCCUUCACUCAUAAUUGCACGAGUUAAACAUCCAAUUUUGCAAGCAUGCUCGUCCCUAAGUUGACGAAGUCGCUUUGCAUUGCCACGAUAUUCAUGUCGUAUGAGAGAAAGUAAACUAGCCUGUGAAAUGAAAGCAUCACGGGGAAAAAGAAGGACAUCCGACUUAGAAACUUUAGGGAACAAAUUUUUUUUAGCAAAAAUAUUAGAGAAAUUUUGAAAUUGUAGAAUUGAUUUGAUGGAAUUUCGACAAAUGUGAUAUAGUCUAGUAGGAAAAGAUUGAAUUAGGAAUAAAACCCUUGAAUACCAAUUUUUAUCGAUGCUUUCCCAAUAAUGAAGGUUAUCAGACAUAAUCAUCGCUUCUUCUAACAAUUGAUCUAGCAUUUUUACGUGUAAAUGAGCUGAACACCUCCCCAAUAUUACCCAAUACAGAUAAUCUUUUGGUCCCUUAUCUAGCUCCUUCACUUGAGUAAUAACAUUUUCUAGUUGAUAAUUUGUCAAGUUUGUUGAAUCCAAUUGUUGAAAUACAUGAAAUGUUACUGAAUUGGAAGUGGUCUCUCCAUGCACCGCAGCAAGCUUAUUAAAAUUUGCAUAUACAUCCUUCAAAUGUUUUUGAUAAAGUUCCAUAUUGCCAAACUGUUGUUAUUCACCCGUUUUGUUGCAGUCUCAAAAGCAAAAAUAAGAUAUUAGAUAUAAUGACUUCUCUAGAUAUGCAAACACGCAUUCACUAUAGUUGAAGAAUUAUUUGGGCAUUUAAAACAAAAAAAAAUAGUCAGUUAAAAUAUAUGAUAUUUGAAAUGGGUGUAGUUCUCGGAAAACGUCAAGCACUUUGUAUGACCACAUUUUUCGUAGGAAA